GGAUUGUGUGGGUCCAUAGUUCUUCCUCUCUCCCCUGCUGUGCCAUCACUCACCUGUGGGUGGAAUAUAUUUCCUUACCCCACUGACUUCAGGCUUGGCCAAGGGACACCUGCUUCAGCUUCGCUAAUGAAAUAUUGGGCAGAGAUAAUCAUUGGCAAGAAUCCGCCAAUACUCUUGGAACAGCUGUCCUUUGCCGUAACAGGAACGUAUCUCAGAGAACUAUUUCUUCUUCAGUCUGGAUUUUGAAAGGAAGACUCAAAUCGAUCUGAAGCCUGUGAUCCAGCAGAGCUCAGGGAAGACGAAGCAAGACUCGCUGAGAUCAGCCAAAUUGCGGAUCACCCACCGACAGGUGGUUGUGGAAAAAAUGAUUGUUUAAACCACGGAAAUUUGGUAGAUGUUUGUUAUACAGCAUGCUUACAGCAAAAGCCCAAUUCAUCCACUGAUAAAAUAUAGCUAACCAAAAUAAUGAAUUUGUGGAAGAGAAGAUAAAAUAAUUAAUUGAAAAUGCUUCUAGACAUUGAAAAGUCAUAUCCAGUAUAAUUGACAAAAACAAUAGAAUCACUAUUUUAAAUAGACUGCUAGAUCUCUUUAGGAUGACUCCAAUAGUUUAUCUAUUGUGAUAUCUAAAAGCAACUCAGUUUCAAUAGGACAACUCUGGCCUCUGAGUCGUUGUACAUCUUUCUUCAUGCCAGAAAGGAAUCCUGGGUUAAGAUUCUAUUUUAGGGAAGGAAAAUGGCAAACUUGCAUCAGGACCUUCGUAUCUAUGCAUUAUGAGUGUUUGAACUGGAGUUUCCCAGUGAGCUAUUCGGUGGAACACAGUAUUACCAGUUUGACUGAACCGUGUAUCCUAUGUACCCAGAAACUGUGGACAAGGGGGCUCUGGAGAACCUUCCAGAGACCUCACACAUGUGCUCAAGCAGUGAGCCAACACUGGGCUGUCUGCCUCACAGAAUAACGAAUCAGCAUCAGCUAGAGAAGCAACAACAAUCUUCCAUGGAAGGAACUGCAGCUGAUCCCUGUUAACGUGACAUCUGCCCUGUUCCCCCAAUCCAUUCUACUGGUCACGAUGAUCCAGGACUUCAAGUUUACAAGGGCAUGGGAUAGUAAAAUCUUUGGUCAUUUCUCUUUCCUUAGACCAUUUCUCCAGCAUAGCCAGAGAUGGCAAUUGGGAAAGCAUUGAAUUAGAUGUAAGACUGGAAUUUCCACUUGAAUGGCUUAAAUUCUGAUGAAGAAAAAGACUCAAAAAGUUACAAGAUCUGCCUGAGAUGCCAUCCAACAUUGGGAAAGGAGAUUCAAAAGGACAUGAUCAAAACUAGUGACUAGAAAAAAAUAAAGCUAUUUUAUGUUUAUAGGCUAAAUAAACUGCUUUUACAAUGAAUGAGCAAUUACGAAUUUGGACCGAAUUAACGGAGACUAUUUUAUAAGAGAAGCAGAAAGAGAACGAACAUUUAUUGAGCACACAUUAACAGGUAGGUAGUUUGCAAAGAGUCCGUAUCUAUUAACGUUGCUAAUUCUUACAAUGAAUUACUGGACCGUUUCCUCCUUUACAUAGUGAAACCAAAGCUGAGAGAUGUUAAGUAACUCACCCAGGGACAUACAGCUAAUGAAUGGCGGAUCUAGGAUUAAAUUUAGGUAAAUAUGAUGUUAAUGCCGGUAUUUAUUCUGCUGUUCUCCCCUGCCACCAACAGAGGUGGACUGUUAGGCAUACUCCAUAUUAAAAGUUCCUUAGCGUCUCCUUUCUUGUUCAUGUCUAAUCUAGUAUAUAAGUCAUUCUUUGAGGUAUGGUAGACUUUAACUGGCUUUGUCAAAUGUGUAUGAUGCUUCUUUGUCAACUCGAAUACGAAUUCUCUAUUAAAAAUGUGUAGAGUCUUGC